UACGUAGGGGGCUAGCGUUGUCCGGAUUUAUUGGGCGUAAAGCGUGCGCAGGCGGUUUUGUAAGCCAGAUGUGAAAUCCCCGGGCUUAACCUGGGAAUGGCAUUUGGGACUGCAAGGCUCGAGUGCGGCAGAGGAGACUGGAAUUCCUGGUGUAGCAGUGAAAUGCGUAGAUAUCAGGAGGAACACCGAUGGCGAAGGCAGGUCUCUGGGCUGACACUGACGCUCAUGCACGAAAGCGUGGGGAGCAAACAGG
rnacentral:rRNA from 1 species